rnacentral:ncRNA from 1 species
CAGGAAAUUUUUUGCUGGCAAUUCCUGUUGAAUACAGCUUGAAACAAAUUUAAAGAAUAA